AGAAGUGAGGAGGAGCCUCUGCCUGCUGUGCCUGGAGCCCAUCAGUCUCUGAGUGACCAGCAAGGUGAAUCAGCAAAGGAUGGAGACAAGCACAAGCAGUAGUACCGAAAGAAUACCAGGCUGCCAACAAAGGAGCAGGAGGAUGCUAAGAGUGGAGGAAGCCCAGCAGUUCAUCUGGCAGAAACCUGCUUCUGAGAAGCAGAGGAGAGGGG
rnacentral:lncRNA from 1 species